rnacentral:rRNA from 1 species
GAUGAACGCUGGCGGCGUGCCUAAUACAUGCAAGUCGAGCGAACGGACGAGAAGCUUGCUUCUCUGAUGUUAGCGGCGGACGGGUGAGUAACACGUGGAUAACCUACCUAUAAGACUGGGAUAACUUCGGGAAACCGGAGCUAAUACCGGAUAAUAUUUUGAACCGCAUGGUUCAAAAGUGAAAGACGGUCUUGCUGUCACUUAUAGAUGGAUCCGCGCUGCAUUAUCUAGUUGGUAAGGUAACGGCUUACCAAGGCAACGAUGCAUAGCCGACCUGAGAGGGUGAUCGGCCACACUGGAGCUGAGACACGGUCCUGACUCCUACGGGAGGCAGCAGUAGGGAAUCUUCCGCAAUGGGCGAAAGCCUGACGGAGCAACGACGCGUGAGUGAUGAAGGUCUUCGGAUCGUAAAACUCUGUUAUUAGGGAAGAACAUAUGUGUAAGUAACUGUGCACAUCUUGACGGUACCUAAUCAGAAAGCCACGGCUAACUACGUG